AACAGAGAGCAGCUGACAUGUACAAAUUUGUUUACUCUUUGAAACCAACUAAAGGGGGAUCUUAACUCGCGGCUUAAAUCAAAGCGGACUAUACCACUCUGAAUGCCAGACGAGUGAAACGUGACGGAAAUCUUCAAACCUUUGUUGAAAAGAAACAGGAAAUAUCAUGAAUAGAACAAUUCUACUUUCCCUUUUGAUGAUUGUGAUAAUUGUACUGAGCCUCACUGCCGAAUGCAGGGCGAGAGGAUGCAACUAUAGCUUCGGUAACAAAAGAGUAGCCGCUCGAAAGUGCAAGAAACACAAGAGAACAAAAGCCAGGUUUAACGAUGACCUUUCAAGCCUACAAGUCGAAAGGAAUUUAGAUAACAAAGGACGGCUCUACGACUUAUGGAAACUCUAUGAAACAGAGGCGAAAAAAGAGGAAUAAUUCAUUUCGAAAAAAACGUUUAUCGGCUUGUGUCUAUUACAACGUGCUUACUAUUUUCGAGUUUUAAAACUCACAUGAGGUCUCUAAACCACUUACCAUAUAAAUGGUGUUACAACACAUUUUCUGUUUAGCAUAUUGUAAACAAUCUGCUUCACAUUAAAUUGUCAUUCAUACCAAGUGGUAAAA
rnacentral:lncRNA from 1 species